CGAAGGCCGCUUGCUUCCUUGAUGCUGCUAAUCUCUUGGGAGUUAUGGAAAGAGAGGAAUGCACGAAUCUUUCGUAAUAAUGUCGUUCUGGUGGGAGUCGUCGUUGCUAGGAUUAAAGAGGAGACCUUACUUUGGAGCAUUGCGGGAGCAAGGCAUUUGAAUAACAUAAUGCCGCGAGAGUGA
rnacentral:rRNA from 1 species